rfam:Camelus ferus unplaced genomic scaffold scaffold7371, whole genome shotgun sequence.
GAGGGUAUAGCUCAAGCAGUAGAGUGCAUGCUUAGUAUGCACAAGGUCCUGGGUUCAAUCCUCAGUACCUUCU